ensembl:lncRNA
AUUUAUCAAAAACAUGGUGUUGUCACCUUAUUCAUUCAAUACAUAUUUUCUGAGCCACUGCUGUGGGCCAGGCUCAUCAAGGAUUUAGGAACAAAGACACACAGAGUCAUUGCAUUCAUAGAGCAGAGUCUAACCAGAGAAAUGAAAGUAAUAAAAAAUCUCACAGCUAAUGUGUAAUUACAAACUGAACUACAGGGAGCUACAAGUGCUGUGAGAGGUUAACCCAGCAGCAUGACCUGGGAUUGAGAAACGUGGAGAGGUCUUAGGAGAGGAAGGUAGAGAAGCAGGGGGAGCAAUCCCAGGCCCUGCAUGAGGAGAGGCUUGGAACCCUGAGGAAAUUCUGUGUGGCUCUUGCUAGGAAAAGGAAGGGGAACCGGGCAAGGAUAAAGCUAUAGCACAGGACAAGCAAUACCCUGUGGAGAAGAGGUAGGCCAUGUUAACCACGUGCAUCAGUCAGUGCUACAUGGAUUUACAAGGUAGGCUUACAAUGGGUCCCUGCAGAAUCAGGUAUGGAGAACUAUAAAAGGGCCAUCUGUGUGCUGGAGAGCCAAAGGAUCCAGUCAAAAGUCAAAGACUUGGAGCUCACUGCAGAGUCUUUUGUGAGUAUCAGGAAGCUGAAGAGUCUGGACUGAAAGCCUAAAGAUGGACAUCCGACAGCAAUGGUAAAGAUUGGAGCUUCUCUGAAGAAACACAAGUGAGACUUCCUUCUUUCCCAAGCUACAAACCUAUUGAUUUGUGCCACCCACACCCAGGGUGUAUCUUCCCUCUUCCGUACUUCAUCCAGACACACCCAGAACAGUGUUAAACCAAUCAGAUGGGUGUUUCUUAUUCAAGUUGACAGCACAGUUAAUUAGCAUACUGCAUUAUUUUGAUUUUCAGAGAAUCAGCUAGUUCUGGAACGAAGAAGAGGAUACAAUCAGACUGAUGACAAAGAAGCUGGCCCUGGCUUUAAUGUAAAGUGUGGGAUUUCUGGGGACCAGAGUGCCUGAAGGGAGACCAAUUAGAAGGCACCUAUUGGUGACAGGGACCGGUGAUGGGCAACCUGAGGAUAAGGUGGCAGGGACAGGGCUGAGUGUGCCCAAGGACAUACAUGGAAUAAGCAGGCAAAUCAAUAGAAGUGCACUGAGUGGAGUGGGAGAGGAAAAGUAUGAUGACUCUUUCUUAGUGGAAGUACAGAAGUCCAAAUUCUUGGCCCUCCCUGAGAGUGAAAUUGCCUCCUGGGGAAGAGAGAUCCACACAAGAUAAUAAGUUGGAAGUUUCAGCCAAGGCAUCAAGCUGCAGUGGAUACUGCUUCCCAAACUCAGAAUCCUGGCUGAUAAAAUAUGGUUGCUCUGGAGUAUAAGUGAAGGUUUCUGAGCUGAAGAGUGAUCGGAUCAAGCCAUUCAGCAGCAGGAGA